UGGUAUGGUGUCAGGAAUGACCUUAUAUCAGGUCAGCUCAGUUUGAUGUAACCGGCUGAUUAGCGCUCAUGCCCCACAGCUGGGUCUUCAGUCUCUGCAGAGCUCCGGGUUGAGAGCAGGACGGUGUUCCUUUCGGGUUGGCGGAUCGUUGUGUGCCGGCAACGCAUAUAGUACGCGGUACGAGCGUGAGGUAGUGACGUGAUAGGGUCGCGGACGGCCGAGGACAAGCCGGUCACGUUCAGAUCCUUUACCUUGUACCAGACGGCUUCUGAGUGGUCGCUGCUGUCGAGACCUGGGCACUGGAUCUUAGCACCUUGUCCAAUCAGCAGAUAAACUCUGCUGUCCUCGUCACUGAAGCGUCCUGAGCUGUUCCUCUUCACCACCUGCAGAUAGAAGAACAGUUUGCUGCCACUGGACAGCAUCACGUCCAUUACUGACACAUGCAAAGCACAGAAAGUCAAACUAAAGAUUAUUCAUUAUAGAUAAAAUAAUAAAGACGGUUUUAAAGAUA